AAUACAUAUGUUAAUUAACCGCAGACAGUAGGGGAGCAAUCUUAAAAAGCCUACCGAGGUAAGAUCGUUUUAAAUACGAAUUUCUUAAUCUCAUCAGUCUGCGAUGGGAUUUUUUAUAUUUGGAG
rfam:Peptoniphilus asaccharolyticus DSM 20463 genome assembly, contig: Pasa20463_Contig222